GGGAGGCAGCAGUGGGGAAUUUUGGACAAUGGGGGAAACCUUGAUCCAGCCAUUCCGCGUCUGCGAUGAAGGCCUUCGGGUUGUAAAGCACUUUUUGCAGGAAAGAAAUCUCUCCAAUUAAUACUGGGUGUGGAUGACGGUACGUGCAGAAUAAGCACCGUCUAUCUACGUCCCCGCAGCCGCGGUAAUACGUAGGGCGCAAGCGUUCAUCGGAAUUACUGGGUGUAAAGUGUGCGCAGGCGGUUCGGAAUGAGAGGUGUGAAAUCCCAGGGCUCAUCCUUGGAACUGCACUUUUAACUACCGAUCUAGAGUAUGUCAGAGGGGGGUAGAAUUCCGCGUGUAGCAGUGAAAUGUGUAGAUAUGCGGAGGCACCCCGAUGGAGAAGGCUGCCCCGUGGGAUAAUACUGACGCUCAUGCAAGAAACCGUGGGGAGCAAACAGGAUUAGAUCCCCUGGUAGUCCACGCCAUAAACGAUUCAACUAGUUGUUGGGACUCUCCCGCCUUAGUAGCGCAGCUAACGCGU
rnacentral:rRNA from 1 species